UACGUAGGGUCCGAGCGUUGUCCGGAGUUACUGGGCGUAAAGCGCGCGCAGGCGGCUGACUAAGUCUGACGUGAAAGCCCCCGGCUCAACCGGGGAGGGUCGUUGGAGACUGGUUGGCUUGAGGGCGGUAGGGGCUGGUGGAAUUCCCGGUGUAGUGGUGAAAUGCGUAGAGAUCGGGAGGAACACCUGUGGCGAAGGCGGCCAGCUGGGCCGACCCUGACGCUGAGGCGCGAAGGCGUGGGGAGCGAACGGG
rnacentral:rRNA from 1 species